rnacentral:rRNA from 1 species
UACGUAGGGUGCGAGCGUUGUCCGGAAUUAUUGGGCGUAAAGAGCUCGUAGGCGGUCUGUCACGUCGGCUGUGAAAUCCCGAGGCUCAACCUCGGGUCUGCAGUCGAUACGGGCAAACUAGAGUAUUGCAGGGGAGACUGGAAUUCCUGGUGUAGCGGUAAAAUGCGCAGAUAUCAGGAGGAACACCGGUGGCGAAGGCGGGUCUCUGGGCAAUAACUGACGCUGAGGAGCGAAAGCGUGGGGAGCGAACAGG